AUUGAACGCUGGCGGCAGGCCUAACACAUGCAAGUCGAACGAGUGGCGGACGGGUGAGUAAUGUCUGGGAAACUGCCCGAUGGAGGGGGAUAACUACUGGAAACGGUAGCUAAUACCGCAUACCAUCGGAUGUGCCCAGAUGGGAUUAGCUAUGAGGUGGGGUAACGGCUCACCUAGGCGACGAACCCUAGCUGGUUUGAGAGGAUGACCAGCCACACUGGAACUGGGCACCGGUCCAGACGCCUACGGGAGGCAGCAGUGGGGAAUAUUGCACAAUGGGCGCAAGCCUGAUGCAGCCAUGCCGCGUGUAUGAAGAAGGCCUUCGGGUUGUAAAGUACUUUCAGCGAGGAGGCGUUACUCGCAGAAGAAGCACCGGAUAACUCCGUGCCAGCCGCCGCGGUAAUAC
rnacentral:rRNA from 1 species